CUUAGAUUUUGGAGAGAACAGGUAGCCUGGCAUUCAUCUAUUUAAAAAGGCCUCUGAAAAAAGUGAAAUUUUCAGUGCCAGGGCUUCCUAUUCACAAGGCAUGACCCUGGGCAUAUGUAACAUUUCCUUUCAAACAGGGAUGAUGUCUUAAAUUUUUAUAUUUUGGGAACACACUGUAUAUACUUCCUUUGGAAAGCAAAUCUCAGGAUUCCAAAGAAAAUCUUAUCCUCUUGUUCAUAUUCCUUGACAUCUAUAACUAAUAAUUCAGCAAAGCCACCUUCUCAUACCCCAAUAUCUAAUGACACCGUCUGUCCCUUGGAAAUGGAGAAGCUGUGACCCUGGAAGCAAAUGAUAGCAAAGGAUCUAAGUCAGGCACUCAGAUUAUAUAAAACAAAAUUUGAACUCAAAGUAAGCAAAUGUGUGCAUGCCCAAAUAACUUCUUUAUAGUUAACCUUUAUUCAGUUCUUCUUCAAGAUGCAGUGUAUCUAAGACUGCCAACCUCAAUCAAAAGACAAACUUAAUCAGUGCUGUGGUUUUAAUGUGUCCCCCAAAGCUCAUGUGUUGAAAAUUUAAUCCCCAAUUCAAUAAUGUUGAGAGGUGAUGCCUCUAAGAGAUGAUUAGGUCAUGAGGGCUGUGCCCUCAUGAAUGGAUUAAUGUCAUUGUCAUAGGAGUGGGUUAGUUCUCACUGGAAUGGCUUCCUGAUAAAAGGAUGAAUUCAGUCCCCUUCCCCUUCUUCCUUAUGCCCUCUUGCCCUUCUGCUUUCUACCGUGGGAUGAUGCAGCAAGAAGACCCUCGCCAGAUGCAGACUCCUCAGCCUUGGACUCCCAAGCCUCCAGAACUGAAGUGAUGGAAAAACUAUUCUCAGCAAAUGAGUGGAAAUUGCACAACUACAAGAUUUACCCAUUUUUUGAAAGCUGCCUGAGAAAGAAGAUAGCAAUCCAAAAGAAAAUUCUUCAUACAGAAGGCAUAAAGAUGCCCAUCAUGCAGAGAGACAAGCUUCAAGGACAUGAAGCCUAAAUGGGAAAUCACUGCUCUUCCAGGCUCCAUGCAGGCAAUUGGAUGUCUGUCCAGAACAUUUCUGGAUUAAAUUGUUUAGAAGUCAGAAAAAUUAUUUUAGGACUGGAGUUCUGCUUAUUAGUGUUCAAUGUUCACAGGCCAUAAAUGUGUCAAAUGCUUGAAACAAUUUAUAUUUCCAGUGAUGAUUCAUGGCAAGUGAUUGCUUCCCUGUUGGCUAAUGUGAGAAAUGCAGCGUUUCUUUUCAUAAACAUUAACAGGACAAACAGUAAUUUGGAGAAUAAAUAAAAUGUAAUUCCACUUGGAUGCAUUAGAAAGAUUUCUCCUUUGCUACAAUUCUAAAGAUGAUAAUAAUGAAUAACAAUGAGAUUGAUUGUUGCAGUAGCACUUGUCUUAGAAUCUUCUAGGUUUUGUUCUGCCACUGAUGUGAAAAAUCCCUUGACAUCACCUUCGUUAUCAUGAUACCUUCGCUGAAAAUGUAUUUUGGGGAGUUCUCACAUUUGAAACUUUUGUUAUUGACUUCAUGAGUAUCUAACCCCCAUUCCAUAAAAUGCCUCUUCUGGAUUGCCUUGGAUUCCGAGAAUGCUGAAAAGAAGCUGAAUUUGGAAAGAGUGAAUUAUUUGAAGUUGAACAAUAUUUUUAUAUUUGCAAGUAAGUUAGCAUUUUGUAGCUGACAUGGAAUUACAUUCAUUAUAGACAAUGAUGACUUUAUUAUUUUGAAGCAUAAUAUAGAUGCUAACUCAUUAGUGCAUGUGUACCCAACAGUCCUAUACCAAUCAACCAGUCAACGAAUAUUAGUUAGGCAUUUACUUUAUGCAAAAUACUGUUAUUUCUUUGAAGAUUAGACAAAGUAAUAUGAAGCAUUAUUUCUUCUUUGUAGGGACUUAAGACCUAUCUAUAUGUGAAAAUAAGGAAAAUAAAUAUUAUGAAAGUGGGGCUCUAGGUUACAGUAUCUAGGGAGAUCAGCUUACUGAUACCCAAGACGUUUCAAAAUGUGGCAUUCAUCCACGUAUUCUUCACAGUCUAAAUCCUGGUUCUUAGCCUUGCAGGUUUAUAAAAUUAAUCUUGUUAGAGCCUCAAAUAUGUUAUUAAUCAGGAAUGUGACAUACUAAUUCUAUAAUACCUAAUAACCUGACAUAUAAGCCAGAAUGAAAAUAUAGCCACUGGGCUGCCAAGUAACCCAUAGGCCUGGGCAGUGUGUAAGCUUCCUAGGUACAUGCUGCCUUGGAAGGUUUCAUGAUAAACAUGACAUUAGAAUAAUGGGAUCUGACUAUAGUUGAAAUGUGAAAAAGCUGUGUGAAACCUAUAUAAAGUAGACUGAGGAUGUCACCUCUAACUUUUAAAUACUCAUUUGAGAAACUGAAUAUUUACAUCUGUUCCCAUUACUCAUUUCUUGGAUUGGGAUUUAUCUCUCAGACUUCUUUUUAAGCUUCAUUUUUGAUUAAGUUCACCACUAAUUGAAAUAUUCAUUGCAUUUUGAAAAUGGCAUAUGAUGAAAUAUUAUACACUUACACAAAUGUGUAUAAUACAUAUAAAUUAUAUAUAAUAAUAAAAUAAAUUGCCUUGUAGCCACAGAUAACAUAAGACACAAAAAAUCACCAAUACUUCUGAAUCCUA
rnacentral:lncRNA from 1 species